UACGUAGGGUGCAAGCGUUGUCCGGAAUUAUUGGGCGUAAAGAGCUCGUAGGCGGUCUGUCGCGUCUGGUGUGAAAACUCGAGGGCUUAACCCUGAGCUUCGCAUCGGGUACGGGCAGACUAGAGUGCGGUAGGGGAGACUGGAAUUCCUGGUGUAGCGGUGAAAUGCGCAGAUAUCAGGAGGAACACCGGUGGCGAAGGCGG
rnacentral:rRNA from 1 species